AAUUUUGGACAAUGGGGGCAACCCUGAUCCAGCCAUCCCGCGUGUGCGAUGAAGGCCUUCGGGUUGUAAAGCAUUUUUGGCAGGGAAGAAAAGUCGACGGAGUAUACCUGGCGUCUCUGACGGUACCUGCACAAUAAGCACCCGCCAACCACGCGCCAGGCGCCGCGGUACUACGGUGGGUGCAAGCGUUAAUCGGAAUUACUGGGCGUAAAGCGUGCGCAGGCGGUUCGGAAAGAAAGAUGUGAAAUCACAGGGCUUAACCUUGGAACUGCAUUGUUAACUGCAGGGCUAGAGUAUGUCAGAGGGGGGUAGAAUUCCACGUGUAGCAGUGAAAUGCGUAGAGAUGUGGAGGAAUACCGAUGGCGAAGGCAGCCCCCUGGGAUAAUACUGACGCUCAUGCGCGAAAGCGUGGGGAGCAAACA
rnacentral:rRNA from 1 species